CAUAGCGACUAUCGUGGCAUAUCAAUAAGCGGAGGAAAAGAAACUAACUAGGAUACCCUUAGUAACGGCGAGUGAAGCGGGAAGAGCUCAAAUUUGAAAUCUUCAAGGUUCUACCUUGACGAAUUGUAGUUUAAAGAAGUGUUUUCUGUUGGAGUUUUGGUAAAAGUUCUUUGGAAUAGGACAUCAUAGAGGGUGAGAAUCCCGUAUUUGACCAUUUCUUCCAGCUGUGUGAUACACUUUCAAAGAGUCGGAUUGUUUGGGAAUGCAGUCCAAAAUGGGUGGUAAAUUUCAUCUAAAGCUAAAUAUUGGCGAGAGACCGAUAGCGAACAAGUACCGUGAGGGAAAGAUGAAAAGAACUUUGAAAAGAGAGUUAAACAGUACGUGAAAUUGUCAAAAGGGAAGCGUUUGACACCAGUGUUGUUUUCUCGAAAAUCAAUUAAAAAAGGCCGGAUUUUGUGUUGUAUUGACCUUAAAAGCUUUCUUCACUCUUUUCUUGUCUUUUUUAAUGCACUUUUCGUUUAACAAGUCAACAUCAGUUUCUUUUGUUGUAAAAGGGUCAUUGGAAGGUGGCUUUCUUUUCGGAGAAAGUGUUUAUAGCCUUUGAUCUCUGCAACCGGAGAGACUGAGGUCUGCAGCGUAGACUCUUCGGGGUUAAAUACAUUUGUGCUAAGCUAUAGCUUUUUAUAGACAACUUGUUGACUAUAUUUAGUCUUGUGGCUUACUCGCUUAUGCUAUUUUACCUACGCUUAGGAUGUUGAUAGUCACAGCGUGUAC
rnacentral:rRNA from 1 species